ACUGGUAAAUCAGAAAAGAUCACCAUUACAAACGAAAAGGGACGUCUUAGCCAGGAAGAAAUAGAUAGAAUGGUUCGUGAAGCAGAAGAGUUUGCCGAGGAAGACAAGAAGGUGAAGGAGAGGAUCGAUGCUCGCAACAGUCUUGAAACCUACGUAUACAACAUGAAGAAUCAGGUCAGUGACAAGGACAAGCUCGCGGACAAGUUGGAGUCAGAUGAAAAGGAGAAAAUUGAGACUGCAGUGAAAGAAGCAUUGGAAUGGCUGGAUGACAACCAGAGUGUGGAGAAAGAAGAUUAUGAAGAGAAGCUGAAGGAGGUUGAAGCCGUUUGCAACCCAAUCAUCAGUGCUGUGUAUCAGAGAUCAGGAGGAGCCCCAGGUGGUGCAGGUGGCGAAGGCGAAGACGAGGAUGAUUCUCACGAUGAG
rnacentral:lncRNA from 1 species